rnacentral:lncRNA from 1 species
AUUAUUUGAUGAGUGCAAGAAUGGAAGAUCCAGCCUCGUGCAUAAAAGUUCCAUGGGUGCUCAAGGGCUCCCAAGGCAAUGCUUACACUAAAGGGGCAGAACCUAAUGCUCUAAGAGUAGUGAGAUUAUGAUAGGACUGAGGAGUGAGGGUGGAGGCGGCCAGAAUGGCGAUGAAGACCAUAGGAGAUUAGAGAGAAAACCAGAAGGUUCCAGAGUGAACUUAGAGAUUGAUGGUUCAAGUGAGAGAGAG